rnacentral:misc_RNA from 1 species
AAAAAAAAGAAAAAAUGAUAAUCCCCGUGGGAAGCCUAUCCCGUCCCACUUUGCACCUUCGCUAGGAAGUUCUUGCCUCGACCCCAAUCCUCUGUGGGGCGGGGAGGGAGGGAGGAAUCCGGCCCUAAUUAACCCUGUUGCCAUCCCUAAUUGCUAACUUGAAACCUAAAACUAAAGGAAUAUGCAAGACAUGGGUUAGUAUUGAUAGGCAAACAAAUGGUUUAUAGCUUUUGAGCACGAAGGAUUGUCUGAUGCUGUUCCUUUCUAUGCUUCCAUAGCAAGAGUGUAGAAUUUCGGAUUCUUAUUGGGGUUCAAAUAGAUGUUACAUUUUGUUUUCACUGUUAAUUCUUCCUCCUGACUUAUCUUGGACUGCACAAUUUUGUAUUGAUUUUUAUUGCAGAAUGGGGGCAAGAUGGUCUGCAAAGUUCAUGCAGAUCUACUUAUAUUGUAUAAUAAUAAAUUGAAAUAAAAAAAUAAAAGAAAAAAUGAUAAUCCCGUGGGAAGCCUGUCCUGUCCCACUCCGCACCCCGGCUUGGAAGUUCUUGCCUCAAUCCCAAUUCUAUGUGGAGUGGGGAGGGGGGGAGCGAUCCAGCCCC